rnacentral:rRNA from 1 species
ACGCUCGACACCUACGGGAGGCAGCAGUCGGGAAUAUUGCGCAAUGGAGGAAACUCUGACGCAGUGACGCCGCGUGCAGGAAGAAGGUUUUCGGAUUGUAAACUGCUUUAGACAGGGAAGAAAAAAGACAGUACCUGUAGAAUAAGCUCCGGCUAACUACGUGCUAGCAGCCGCGGUAAUCUGAGCGGGCUGGCAAGGC